rnacentral:rRNA from 1 species
GAUGAACGCUGGCGGCGUGCCUAAUACAUGCAAGUCGAGCGAACGGACGAGAAGCUUGCUUCUCUGAUGUUAGCGGCGGACGGGUGAGUAACACGUGGAUAACCUACCUAUAAGACUGGGAUAACUUCGGGAAACCGGAGCUAAUACCGGAUAAUAUUUUGAACCGCAUGGUUCAAAAGUGAAAGACGGUCUUGCUGUCACUUAUAGAUGGAUCCGCGCUGCAUUAGCUAGUUGGUAAGGUAACGGCCUACCAAGGCAACGAUGCAUAGCCGACCUGAGAGGGUGAUCGGCCACACUGGAACUGAGACACGGUCCAGACUCCUACGGGAGGCAGCAGUAGGGAAUCUUCCGCAAUGGGCGAAAGCCUGACGGAGCAACGCCGCGUGAGUGAUGAAGGUCUUCGGAUCGUAAAACUCUGUUAUUAGGGAAGAACAUAUGUGUAAGUAACUGUGCACAUCUUGACGGUACCUAAUCAGAAAGCCACGGCUAACUACGU